rnacentral:lncRNA from 1 species
UUACUUCUGUCAAUUUCCAACCACUUCUGAGCGACCAAGGUUAUUGAUGGUUUGAUGACGACUUGGUUUUGGGUUUUGGAUUUGCUUGCUUAAUCCAAGGUAAUUUGGGAAACGCGGGGAAUAAGUGAAGAGUGUCGUGAAGAUAAAGAUUUAUUGUAUUUCGGUAAUGUAAAGAAAAUAUAAUUAGGUUCUUUUCGUUUUUAAACUUUAGAAUUAGUUUUUGAAUUUGAUAUCUGUAAUAGUGACACGUUAGCCUAUUACAGGUUGGGGUGUUACAAUUAUGGUAUCAGAGCGAAGGCUCUUUCCUGUAGAAAACUUAAACCUUAAAAAGUAAACAUGUGAGUUAAUGGGUAGACGUUGGGUUAGGAUUCUGAAUUUCGAACGAUUUUCGUACUCUCUAUUUUGUGACCCUUGAUAUGCCUAUUCGCAACUUUUGUCAUUUUUUUCUUUGCUAGUGUCAUAUUUUGCAUCUCAACUGUAGGAGUUAAAUUAUUAUUAUCAUUACGGCUUUAUUCAGGAUUUCAUGAAAAGACUCGGAACACGGUGGAUGACAUGAUCUAAGUAAGUAUGACCUCGAACGAACUUGACUACGUGCCACAAAAUCCUUGCUACCAUUCGUGUUUCAAGAAGUGUUUCACAUCUGAAUACAACUCACUGAAUUAAUGCAUAUGCUUUAGUUAUCAUCUAUCUAUUUCUUAGAAUCUUUGCUAUUGACCUUGCUUCGUUUAUCAUCACUUCGUUUCCCUUACAUUUGAAUAGGUCAUUGAGAUGCAUGACGGGAUUACCAUUAGGGCACAAUUGUAAGAUAAUUGACAAUUAUGGUCAUGAACGUAAUCGUGAAUUAUAGGUACAUAUGUGCGCUCUUGGAUUCCUAUUAUGUAGAUUUAUGUCAAUUUGAAUGUUUUAUGAUCCAAAGAUUUCAUCGUUCUUAAAAAACAUUGCUCGUUGUUUGAUGUUACACGUCUACAUGCCUAUGAUGAGCAUACCUGAUUUUUGUUUUGCUGCUAACCUCUCUUUAGUUUCAACCAUAUAAUAUUAUUGAUCUUGACAUAUUGAGUAUGUUUCGUGUCUGGAAUUAUGAUGGCCUCUAAAGUCUGUUUGGUACAUGUUAGAUUUGAAUUUGCUAGUAAAUCAUACUUAAUAAUUUCAGUGACAAACUUUUAUUUAGAUAGGUAGAAUUAUAACACCAGAAUAUAUAUGUGUAGGGGAGAGUUCAUUGGGGAACACCAAAAAAGUGGGGAACUGGGGAACAGGGGCAAUUUUGUCAAAAUACUUUCCAAAAUAUAAUGCGUUUAUUAUUAUUAUCAUUUUUUUGAAUGGGAGUCUUUUCCGGUUGCCAUAAGCCGCCACCACCAUCACGAUGAUCCUGAAUAACUGUUAAACCACCGAUUUCCACCAACAGAUUCCGGUGAAGAUCGGCCAAUUUUCAUCUACGUUUAUGAUUUAAACUUGCAAUUCAUCCAAUUUAUCUCCAUUUUGUUUCAAUCCGGAUUACCAACAACAUCAUUCACCCUUUAGAUCUAGGGUUUCAUCGUUCAGAAAUCAAUUCAUCAGGUAAAUUUUCAUUGUUCAGUUUCAAUUUUGUUCUUGAUUCAUCGUUUAUGAUGUUUAUAGGUUUUUUAUAUGAUAUUGUGUGAAUUACUUGUGGAUCUAUGUGUUUGAUGUAUGUGGAAUGUGCAUUUGAUGAUAUAAUUUCAGAUCUAGCGUUUAAUCGGUUAUGAAUGUUGAAACUUAUGUGUUUUUGCUUGUAUUUGUAGUAGUUAUUCGUUGUGAAGAAGGUGUGUAUUGAUGAUCUCGAUGGAAUUUAUUUUUUAUUGUGAUCUUAAACUUGUUCAUUUAGUGAAGAGUUUAUUGAUUAUGUGUUGAGUAAUGUUUCAUUUUAAAUGAUUUGUUAGGUAGUUAGGGAUGGUGAAAACUAACGAUUGGCGAUGAAUUACGUCUUUCGGGAUUUUAAACUUGGUUAAUCGUGUGAGGUGUAAAAUAUAGAUUAACAUGUUAAAUGGAUUUCUUUUUACACGUAACACAACAUUGCCAUUUAAUUCUAUGACUAAUUUUAAAAUGUUAAUUUUACAUGUAUAAUAAAUAAUCAAGAGGCUCAAGGAUGUCAACUGAAAUUGUGAGGUAUCUAUCUCUUGCCCUUAUCUGAAAAAGAUAUGAUCAUACUGCUAUUAUGUAUAUGUGGUUUGUUGGAUCUUUAGCUGUUUUUGCCAUUGUUUGAAUCUUUGAGUAGCUAACAUGUCCUUAGAUAUACUUGUGCAAUUCUCUCACUUGCUUCAAAAGUAUAAGAUGCUUGUGCCAUACAACUAAUUUGAGAAUAUUAGAAAAGAGCAAUACCCAUGAUCCUUAGAGGAUUGUCAUUAUAUAUAUCAUCCUAAAUAUCACACAGGGUGUGCAAGUCUCUUCUGUUCUUCCUAUUUGUCUGCCUGUCUAUUUUAUGUAUGGUCUAUUUGCAGUUUCUUUGAUGCAGGAAACGUCAUCGCCUGAGUGUGAAUUUUAAAAUAUUGUGGUUAAUAUAUGUGCUAUGUAGGUGAGAGGGGUGAUAUCGGAUUUCUUUAACCUAUGUCCUGAUGUAAAGACUCAUACAAAGGCUCCAGCAGAGGCGAUUGAAAAUCUUCUCACACCACUUGGACUGCAGAAAGUAAAGACGGAAAGGAUACAAAGAUUAUCUGAAGGAUAUUUAUGGGAUGACUGGACAUACAUCACUCAACUCCAUGGCGUUGGGAAAUGCCUAUGCAAUAUUUGUUAGAGGGUAGUGGAGGCGCAUGAUACCCGCAGAUCAUAUGCUAGACAGGUACCAGAAAAUUCGCAGACGGUGUUGAGUUCGUGAAAAGCCCCCUAAACUGAUCAGCAAACCAGAAAAGCUGCAGUUAUAAAAGUAAAGCCAAAAAUUUAAAUCAAAAUAUCACAACCAAGUCAUUCAAGAGCUAAAAAUGAUGCAAGUAUUUGGUAUUUGUUUAGGGCCUCUUUAGCAUGAACCAAUAGCAAAUUAGAGUAAGAACAGUUAUAAGGCAUGAAUGCAAUUGCUGCAACAGUUUCACCAGAAAGGUUUGAACCCGGUUGCUCAGUAUUCAUUUUAUAAUCGGUUCGUGGCAUUGUAAUGUCUUAAGUGCGCAGCGCGCUCCCAACAGAAGAAAAUUAAUAGUUAUGUGAAUAUGACCUUUGUGUAUCAAGCCCGUAUAAAUAAUCUGAGAUUUAGCUUAGUAAUUUGAUUGUUUUGUGACAAUAUUCAUUAAGGUUAGGCUGGGUUGAGGUUCUUUUUGCACCUGUGCUAUUGUAAAAGGGUUUUCUUUUUUGACAUUUUCAAGGCCUUGAGUUGUUUGCUUUGUAUCUUGUUCUCCAGUG